ACGGGAGGCAGCAGCAGGGAAUCUUGCGCAAUGGGCGAAAGCCUGACGCAGCAACGCCGCGUGGGGGAUGAAGGCCUUCGGGUUGUAAACCCCUUUCAGGAGGGAAGAAAUUGACGGUACCUCCAGAAGAAGCCCCGGCCAACUACGUGCCAGCAGCCGCGGUAAUACGUAGGGGGCGAGCGUUGUCCGGAAUCAUUGGGCGUAAAGAGCUCGUAGGCGGUUCAGCAAGUCGGCUGUGAAAGUCCGAGGCUCAACCUCGGAACUGCAGUCGAUACUGCUGUGACUCGAGUCCGGUAGAGGAGAAUGGAAUUCCCGGUGUAGCGGUGAAAUGCGCAGAUAUCGGGAGGAACACCAGUAGCGAAGGCGGUUCUCUGGGCCGGUACUGACGCUGAGGAGCGAAAGCGUGGGGAGCAAACAGGAUUAGAUACCCUGGUA
rnacentral:rRNA from 1 species